rnacentral:rRNA from 1 species
UGGGGAAUAUUGGACAAUGGGCGCAAGCCUGAUCCAGCCAUGCCGCGUGUGUGAAGAAGGCCUUUUGGUUGUAAAGCACUUUAAGCGAGGAGGAGGCUACUUGGAUUAAUACUCUAGGAUAGUGGACGUUACUCGCAGAAUAAGCACCGGCUAACUCUGUGCCAGCAGCCGCGGUAAUACAGAGGGUGCGAGCGUUAAUCGGAUUUACUGGGCGUAAAGCGUGCGUAGGCGGCUUUUUAAGUCGGAUGUGAAAUCCCUGAGCUUAACUUAGGAAUUGCAUUCGAUACUGGGAAGCUAGAGUAUGGGAGAGGAUGGUAGAAUUCCAGGUGUAGCGGUGAAAUGCGUAGAGAUCUGGAGGAAUACCGAUGGCGAAGGCAGCCAUCUGGCCUAAUACUGACGCUGAGGUACGAAAGCAUGGGGAGCAAAC